rnacentral:lncRNA from 1 species
GAGAAGUAAGAUUUGUUAUUUGAGCUUGAAGAUUAGCAAUUGCCAUGUCUUACUUCUCUAGUACCUAAAAUCAAAGAAAGAAAACUAAAUCAAAUAUCAAAAGUAAAAUAAACAAAACAGGGUGAUUAGCAAAUUUGCUAAUCCCCGGCAACGGCGCCAAAAUUUGAUGUGAAAAUUAACUUGACACACAAAUUAAACCCUAUUGAUGACAAUUGUAGUAGAGAUGUAAGUAGGGAUCGUUCUAGACGGGGGAUUAACUAGGGAUGCUAAUCAACACAAAUAAGACUCAAAAACACUAAACUAGACUCUAUAGACUCAAAACACUCAAAAUAGCAACAAACAAUAAAAAAGACUCAAUUCUAGACCUAACAAGUGGUUUUGAAGAAAAUAAGACUUAACUUGACUCAAAAUACUAAAAGAAAAUAGAUUGUGACUCAACUAACAAGACUUAAUGAAAAGGGGAUUGUUUUUGACGAAUUUAAAACUUAAAACAGAAACUUUGCAUAAAACACUUUAAGAAAACGAAUUUGGUGAAUUGAAAAGGGUGAAAGGCUAGUUAGAGGAUCCUUCCCUACACAUGACAUGCAAACAAACCAAUUUCCAGUUAUUAUUCCUUUAAACCAUGAAUGACAACACCCCAAGUUCACCGUGACAGCACAAAUUAACCAUCAGAUUUUCCUUAACUCAUUGAAUUGGACGGGAUACGCAUCACAACCAAAUUAUCCUUCUCAAGUUCCCUAACUAUGAAAAGCAUGAGAGAGAGACAUAUCAAAGGUCAUUAAGUUCCUUGAAAACCAUAAACAUUGACGAGGCAUUCAUAACCAUGAAAAACAUGAUACUCUUGCCAAGGAUUUACUUAACACAAUCAUGACUAGUGACUUCCACUACUUGUGAAUAUAAGUUCAUAAUAAUUAGGUGAAACUCCCUUAUACUCUAGCAUCAAGUUUAUGCAUGCAAACUAAGUAUUCAAUCAACAUACAUAAACAAGUUUUAAUAACUCAGAUAAGCAAAUCACAUUCAAGACUCAAGAAACAAUAAUUGGAUGUAAUCAAUUCAUAUAAAGCAUAUAAUCAUGGCUU